AAAGCAACUGUGGCAAAGGAGGGAGGCAGGAAGGGGAAGCUGGAGGACAAUGAGAAAAUAAAAACCAAUGGCUUCAGCAUAUUGCUUGGAUUUGGCCCAUUUUACCUUGAGUAACUGAUUGUACUAGAAUAUAGUCACCUUUUCUCUUUCCCUACCCAUUUUUUCCCUCCCUUUCUCUUUUGUACCAGGGAUACCACCUGGGCCUGGAGAUUUCUGUAAAUUUUUCAACUAGAAGCUCGGUUUUUCAAUAGAUUAUCUAUUUCUUUUUGGCUGAACUUAGUUCUUUUCACUGAACUUGCCAGAUGUCGUUAUGUAGAAUCAUUCACAGAAUCCUUUUAAUUUCUGUGGGAUCUGAAAUCUAUUUUACUCCCACUAUUGAAUUCCUCAGUUCUGAUUGACAUGGACAACUUGUCUAGGCACUACCAGAGCAGAGGAAUGGUCUUAUUCUGCCUCCUGCCAGGCUCUGUCUCCACUGGGAGCUUGUGUAGGUGACAGGGGUUUGCUGCCUUCUCUGAUGCACAAACCCACGACCUCCAGUCUAGGAGACUCGCUGACAUGCUGCUGGCUGUUCUGAGGAGGCUCUCAGACCAUCGAUCCUACAAAACAUCCUGAUUCCAGUCUUGCCAAGCCUCUAUCUGAAAGAUUUCUGAAGAAAUCAGAUUUAUAUUUAGUGUGCCUUUCUAUGAUGUAAGAUCAAUUUGUGUUAUAUGGUAGCUUUUAUUUGACUUUUUUUUUUAGCAUAAUGAGUAUUCACCUCGUCUUAUGGGCAUAUUGUGAAGCCUAAAUGCAACACUGAGGUUUCAUCAUGUGCUUACAUGGAAAAGUUUAGUGCAUAUUCUCUAUGAAAUUAUAAGUCCAAUAACCCCUUCAUAUGAUCUGUAUAAUAACAGGAAAUAAGUGGUCACUGGACCAUUGUAGAACAUGAGUAUAUAAAGUUUUUAAAACCUUAUAGAGGGAAAUUAAAAGGCUGAGAUCCCGCAUCACAUAGUUUUGGUGUGUUUUUUUGGCAUUCUUUUUAUCAAGUCUAAUUCUCAUGGAUCAAAUUCUGCAAAUCUGAAUCUGAUGAAGACAUGAAAAUGUUAAUAAUCAGACUUUGAUCAGUAAUGCUUUAUUUCUUGUGUAGUUUUCACAUUGCCAGUUUUAGUCUGUUUCUUAUUUCUUCCGCUAAUAUUCAUAAUUUUUAAUCCAAGGGUGAUGGUAUGGGUAUUUUCUG
ensembl:lncRNA